rnacentral:lncRNA from 1 species
CUGAAAUCUCCACUUGCAAAUUACACAAAAAGAGGGUUUCAAAUCUGCUCUGUGUAAAGGAUCGUUCAACUCUGUGAGUUGAAUACACACAACACAAGGAAGUUACUGAGAAUUCUUCUGUCUAGCAGAAUAUGAAGAAAUCCCGUUUCCAACGAAGGCCUCAAAGAGGUCUGAAUAUCCACUUGCAGACUUUACAAACAGAGUGUUUCCUAACUGCUAUAUGAAAAGAAAGGUUAAACUGUGUGAGUUGAACGCACACAUCACAAUGGAGUUUCUGAGAAUCAUUCUGUCUAGUUUUUAUACGAAGAUAUUUCCUUUUCUACCAUUGACCUCAAAGCGGCUGAAAUCUCCACUUGCAAAUUCCACAAAAAGAGUGUU